rnacentral:rRNA from 1 species
AUUGAACGCUGGCGGCAGGCCUAACACAUGCAAGUCGAACGAGUGGCGGACGGGUGAGUAAUGUCUGGGAAACUGCCUGAUGGAGGGGGAUAACUACUGGAAACGGUAGCUAAUACCGCAUACCAUCGGAUGUGCCCAGAUGGGAUUAGCUAGUAGGUGGGGUAACGGCUCACCUAGGCGACGAUCCCUAGCUGGUCUGAGAGGAUGAACAGCCAAACGUGAACUGGGAAACGGGCCAGAAUCCUAAGGGAGGCAGGAGUGGGGAAUAUUGGACAAUGGGCGGAAGCCUGAUGCAGGCAAGCCGGGUGUAUGAAGAAGGGCUUCGGGGUGUAAAGUACUUUCAGCGGGGAGGCGUUACCCGCAGAAGAAGCACCGGCUAACUCCGUGCCAGCAGCCGCGGUAAUAC